rnacentral:rRNA from 1 species
GGUUAAGCGAAUAAGCGUACACGGUGGAUGCCUAGGCAAUCAGAGGCGAUGAAGGACGUGCUAAUCUGCGAAAAGCGUCGGUAAGGUGAUAUGAACCGCUAUACCCGACGAUAUCCGAAUGGGGAAACCCAGUAUCCAAUGGAUACUAUCAUUAACUGAAUCCAUAGGUUAAUGAGGCGAACCG